rnacentral:rRNA from 1 species
GACGAACGCUGGCGGCGUGCUUAACACAUGCAAGUCGAACGGAAAGGCCCCUUUGGGGGUACUCGAGUGGCGAACGGGUGAGUAACACGUGAGUAACCUGCCCUUGACUUCGUGAUAACUUCCGGAAACUGGGGCUAAUACCGGAUAGGAAUCCUUGCUGCAUGGUGGGGGUUGGAAAGCUUCGGCGGUUUUGGAUGGACUCGCGGCUUAUCAGCUUGUUGGUGGGGUAGUGGCUUACCAAGGCUUUGACGGGUAGCCGGCCUGAGAGGGCGACCGGCCACAUUGGGACUGAGAUACGGCCCAGACUCCUACGGGAGGCAGCAGUGGGGAAUAUUGCACAAUGGGCGGAAGCCUGAUGCAGCAACGCCGCGGGCGGGAGGACGGCCUUCGGGUUGUAAACCGCUUUCAGCAGGGGCGAAGCUUGUGGUGACGGUACCUGCAGAAGAAGCACCGGCUAACUACGUG